UACGUAGGGUGCGAGCGUUAAUCGGAAUUACUGGGCGUAAAGCGUGCGCAGGCGGUUUUGUAAGCCAGAUGUGAAAUCCCCGGGCUUAACCUGGGAAUGGCAUUUGGGACUGCAAGGCUGGAGUUUGGCAGAGGAGACUGGAAUUCCUGGUGUAGCGGUGAAAUGCGUAGAUAUCAGGAGGAACACCGGUGGCGAAGGCGGCUAUCUGGACAGAGUCUGACGCUGAGGCGCGAAAGCUAGGGGAGCAAACAGG
rnacentral:rRNA from 1 species